rnacentral:rRNA from 1 species
GUAGGUGGCAAGCGUUGUCCGGGAAUUAUUGGGGCGUAAAGCGCGCGCAGGCGGUCCUUUAAGUCUGAUGUGAAAGCCCACGGGCUCAACCGUGGGAGGGUCAUUGGAAACUGGGGGACUUGAGUGCAGAAGAGAAGAGUGGAAUUCCACGUGUAGCGGUGAAAUGCGUAGAGAUGUGGAGGAACACCAGUGGCGAAGGCGACUCUUUGGUCUGUAACUGACGCUGAGGCGCGAAAGCGUGGGGAGCAAACAGGAUUAGAUACCCUGGUAGUCCACGCCGUAAACGAUGAGUGCUAAGUGUUAGAGGGGUUUCCGCCCUUUAGUGCUGCAGCAAACGCAUUAAGCACUCCGCCUGGGGAGUACGGCCGCAAAGGCUG